AUUAGCUAAUGUCUCCAUCCUCUGAUCUUCAGAUAGGCUUCAUUUCUACAAGCAAGAUAUCACCACAAAAGGCCACAAUCUUACUGGAACCCACAAUAUUGCUUUCUGGUGUGCAUGGAGAUCAUUGAUGGUCAUUACGAAGGAGGACCUUCUCUGAUGACUGACGGCUGAGCAAGACACAGAUCUGGACAUCUAAGUUGUUUCAAGUUUCUGGUUAUUAAGAAUUGUUGCGACCACCUUGACCAGCAAAGAAGAUGCGACUCGGGAACUCUUCUCCAAGCGGCUUAUUCAGGAACCUUGAAACAGUCUUCUUCUCCCUUGGGGUAAGCCAGCCCACAGCUUAUAUGGCCUAGGCAUAGGCAACCCUAGCACGCCACUUGGCGAUAGCAGAUAGGUACACACACACACACACACACACACACACACACACACACACACACACACACACACACACGGAAGCA